UUGUGUUUCUUCUUUUCGAUCUUUGUGUUUCUCGGUCACAAGAAAAUUAUAUGAUGAGAAAAAGUAUAACAGUCUUUUUGACAGUCUAUGUAUUUACAAUUUAGAAAGUGGAUACUGUGUGAAAAUCUCUACUAGUGUACAUAUAAAAUUUGCAUUUGUACUCUCUACAAUCGAUAUACGCUUACGACGUUUGAAGUAUUGAAUUUAUUAUCAGCUUUAACUGCACUUGCGAAUAAUUCUGAUGGACAAUCGAAUCCAAGAAGUUUUGGCAAAGAAAAUUUUUGCAGAGAUAGUCUUAUGCAAAGAAGUUUUAUGAACAGGAAGUUGAUAAACAAGAGAAAUCUGAAAUGAAUAAACAGAAAAAUCUUCCAAACUAUAUAAAAAUAGGAAAUGCAUAUGCGAGACUUAUAAAAAAUACUGUAUCUGAAAUAAUCGAAAAACAUUAUUCUAUCAAUAAUUCCAUAAAUAAUAAAACGGGUUUUACAGUAGUAUUUAAUUUUCAAAAAAUUAUAAAUAAAAUAAAUAGUUUCGUUAAUGAUAUUGUGAAGUUUAAUUAUAUCUGUGAUGAAAUUAGAGCUUUGCUUUACAUAUCUCCCAGAAUAACUAAUUACGAUCUUACGGAAAGAUAUUGCAUCGAGAAAAUAUUACGCUAUGUGAGGCAACGUUCGGUAAAAGAGAAGUGGAAGAAAUUUAAACAACAAUCCAAGCACACCAUUAUAAUCGAGCAGACUGCUACUUUUGUAGCCAAAUGGCUUCAACCGGAAAAGGAAGUAUCUUGCUCGUACAUUAAAUCAUCAUUAAAUACCAUCGCACAAGAUGUAUUGAGUCGCCUAAAACAAAAACAUCCUAAUCAUAAAAUAUUCUCCGAAAACGCUACACACAAAUUUAGCUAUACAUCGUAUAUUGACAAAAAUAUCUACGAUAAUUUUUGGAACCUAGAGGAAUCAACUCAGAUUUUGGAUAUACUCGAAGAACACAUGUUUAGAGAAUUAAACUUUCGACCAAGCGAAUCGAACGUCAAAAAAUUGGAAUA